UACAGAGGGUGCAAACGUUGUUCGGAAUUACUGGGCGUAAAGCGUGUGUAGGCGGCCACGUAAGUCGGAUGUGAAAGCCCCGGGCUCAACUCGGGAAGUGCACUCGAUACUGCGUGGCUUGAGUACUGGAGAGGUUGGUGGAAUUCUCGGUGUAGAGGUGAAAUUCGUAGAUAUCGAGAGGAACACCGGUGGCGAAGGCGGCCAACUGGACAGAUACUGACGCUGAGGAGCGAAAGCGUGGGGAGCAAACAGG
rnacentral:rRNA from 1 species